rnacentral:lncRNA from 1 species
GAACUUUUGGUGUCGGAGUUACUAUUCACGUAUACGGCACUAUUCACGUAUACGGUACUAUUCACGAAUACGGCACUAUUCAUCGAAAAAUGAAAAUUUUUCUUUUCGUCCGAAAUAUCUAUUCUGGAUACUAGCUUUGAUUGUAUCCAUGUUUUGAUCAUUCUUGAAUUUUACACCACUAUGAUUAUUUUUGAGGUAUUUUUGGACGUGGAUAAAACAAAGUACGAAUCCUUAAUCCUUGUCAUUUUGAUUCACUGGAUUCGUUUCUUUAAAAAAUAUUUUUCAUCAUCCUCAGUCUUAAAUGAUGAUAUU